AGGAGAAAGUGUGCAUAAAAAUGCAUAUACAGGUGUGUGUGUGUACCAAAAACACACACACCUGUAUAUGCAUUUUUAUGCACACUGUCUCCU